GGGAGACAAGCUCAAGCUAUUUGUGACCUAGAGGACUAACCUUGGUCAUCACCAUGAAAUUUAGACUGAGCUGGAUUUUCCUUCUGAGUAUUUUCCAAGGUGUCCAGUGUGAUAUACAGCUGGUGGAGUCUGGGGGAGAUGUGAGACAGCCUGGGGGUUCUCUGCGUCUCUCCUGCAAAGGUUCUGGAUUUACUUUCGGCAACUACGGCAUAAAUUGGGUCCGCCAGGCUCCAGGGAAGGGACUGGAAUGGGUUGCAAGCAUUAAGUACAGUGGUGCUAAUACAUACUACGCAGACUCUGUGAAAGGUCGUUUCACCAUCUCCAGAGAUAAUGGCAACAGCAUGGCAUAUCUACAGAUGAAUUCCCUUAAUACUGGGGAUUCAGCUUUGUAUUACUGUGCAAGUGACACAGUGAUGAAAAGGAAUGUGAGGCCAGACAGAAACUUCCCUUGCCAGGAGGGGAGCACUUCCUCCCAACUAAUGUUGACUCCACUAGCACCACAAGAGAAAUGUUUAGAAAAGAUUUUUGAUGUGGUCAUCAUGGUAGACCCCUUGGAAAGUGAUGAUUCAGCUUCUCUAACCUUAAUGAAGAGACCAGUGUUGGAUGUCAUGUAUACCAAACUCCAAUUUUCAUCACCAAUUCAGUAUGCAAAAUGUAUGUUCACAGAUGUAGAUAUUCUGUUACUGACAAAUAUUGAUGAGAUUUAA